GGGAAGAAGGGCAGAAUCUCUGGAGUUGCCAGCUAGAUGAGGAAGAAACAACAUGCAUGGGAAGUUCAUAGAUGAGACUGCUGCCCUCCGGCUGGCUAGGUUGCUCUGUGCUCCCGGCUCACAGCAGACCCGCUACACCACACAGCGCAUUCCGGUUGCCAUUGAGCUGCUCAGAACCGACCACCCAGCUGGGAGACUUCCACAGACCUCCCCACGGUUACUGUCGCAGUUUCUAGCUGCAGGCACCAGACUGGCUCGGACUUCCACAUACCCGUGCCAGGAGGCCUCCUGCCCUAGAGCCGAGGAGGCCUCAGCUUUCAGCAGGGCCUGCAGCUUCCCCUAGCCACCACAGGUGUACAGCCGCAUCUUUUUCAAAAUAUUGGUAAUAUUUUUGUUUAUUACAUGAAUUCAAUGUUUGAGGAGGAUGCCAAUCUGCCAAUUACCAGCCUAUAUGCAGUAAUGGCAGUUAGCUUGCUGGUACAAAUAACAUUCCUAGCCAGAAUCCUCAGGAACAGGGACAAAGAUAACCUCACCACCUCCUUGCAGGAAAUAACAGCUUUACACAAUGAGGUUUUAGAGAACAGAUUAGGUCAGGCCACAAUUGUGCAGCAAGUGGAACAGAAAUUGGAUGAUAAGCUUGGCUCUGUGUCCAAUACACUAAAGACAGAGUUCUCUGUUACCCAAGAUGAGAUGCAGCAUAUUUAUGAUAAGAUGAACACAGAGAGAUCCUCCAUGUAUGAGGCAUUAGAGGCUAGGCUGUCAGAGGACCGUGAUGAACUAAAGAAUAUCUGUAGCCAGCUAGAAACUCAGAUAGGCUCGGUGACCCAGAAACUAGAUGCAAAGGUGCAAAAUACCCAGGAUAGGGUUGAAGAAUUGGACAAUGCCAUUCAAUCAAUUAUUGAAGCAUCUAAGGUAGCAGAUCACAAAUUUGAGUCUAGAUUCAAAUGUUUGGAAGAUAAUUUACAGUACAGUGCUGACAGAUUAGAUAGGUCCAUACGGUUGAUUGCUGAGGACUCAAAAUCAGCAAAUCAUGACCUCGAAUCUAGACUCCAAUACCUAGAAGGCAGUUUCCAUUCCAUCCAGAUGCUGUCUAAGGAUGACCGUAUUAAAGACCUAGAAAAACAUAUAGAAGAGCAGUUAGAGCAAUUUACAGAUUCACUAACAUGCUUGGAAUCUUUUAUGAUGCAGGAAAUUGAAAUGUUUCAUGAGGAUAUCAUUACUAGGCUUAAAGAUCAUUGGGAUGCCUCAGAGGCAGAAUCACUCCAGUCCAAGGCACCUACUCUACCCAGGUAUCAUGAUUAUUCUUCUAAGGUUGUUACUCAUACACCAUUAGUCUACCCAGCUACCAUGGUAGAAAAGCCAGCUUCUAAGGGACAGAUGGCGUAUGUAUGACAACCUAUACAGCUGAAGGAUCUUAAGAAUAUUAAAGAAUCAGUUGUCUCAUAUAGUCUCCAUAGCCCAUAUGUAAAACAGCUAUUACAUUCAUGGGCAACCUUUAACAGGGUGAUGCCCGCAGAUUGGGAAUGAUUUAGUGGCAGCUGUACUUGAGAAUUCAUGCCAAAUCCAGUGGAAGGCAUUUGUCAGGGAAGAGGCAAAGCUCCUUGAGUGUUAAGGCAUAAAGGAAGGUUAUGAAGCCCCUCUAGAUAAGAUUCUUUGUCAGGGUAUUUAUGCGAACCCAGAGGCUCAGGCUAAAUAUGAUGAUGAUAUACUGUCCUUAUGCAGGAAAGCAGCAUUAAAUGCCUGGAAUAAGGUUUGUGAGCCAGGAGAACGCCUAGAAGCUUAUACCAUAAUAGAACAGGGACCUACAGAACAGUUCCAGGACUUCUUACAAAGGUUAACUAGGGCAGUAGAAUUACAGGUAACAGAUCCAGAAACAAGACAAUCAAUUAUAUAUACAAUAGCUUAUAAAAAUGCAAUCCCAAUAUGCAAAAGAAUACUUUUGCCUUUAAAGAUCAGAUCAGCUGCACUAGAAGAAUGGGUUUUGCAUGCAGCCAACAUUGAUUAUCAUGUGCAAGAUACUGGAGUUUGGGUAGGAGAAUCCAUCUCAUAAGGUUUAAAAAGGUAACAGGAGAUUAAAAGUUCUAGAGGUGAGGAAGCAAGGGCUUUGGAGAGAGAAGCACCUUACAGAGGUCAACGUAGGUACCAAGAGGCUAGAGGUUAUUACUACUAUGAACCAGAACCUUGGGUAGGAAGUGUCUUCCCCAGGAGACCACGAAGGCAUCACGAACCUAGAUGUUUCAGCUGUGGUAGAAUGGGACAUAUCAAGAGAAAUUGUAGACAAAUGAAUUCUAACAAUGCCUCAUAUGGAAGGCCACUGCCUUCUGGAUUGUGUAGAAGAUGUGAUAAGGGCAGGCACUGGACCAAUGAAUGUAGAUCGAACAGGGACAUGAAAGGAAACCGGUUAAGGCUGGAAAACCCUGAGAGGGGGACUCAAGAAGGCCCCCACAUCGAGAAAGUUCAGGUCAUUCCCAAUAGCAGUGGAAGACAAUCUCUCACAGGAUGAAUAGAUAGUUCUUUGCCUAUUGUGAAAAAUGAUACUGCUCUAGAUAGUAGUUUGAAUAGGGAUGAAGAAUCAAAUGUGAAUGGACAAAAUGAGAAACGCAUAUUUUGGCAAACUUCUAUUAAUGAUAAAAGACCCCAGUUGAAAGUGAAAAUUAAUAGUAAAGUUAUUACUGGCAUAGUAGACAUUGGGGCAGAUGUGACUAUUAUUACCCAAAAGUCUUGGUCUCAGAAAUGACCUCUUAGAGAGGCAAAUGUACAAUUUUUAGCAAUUGGAACUCUAUCUAGAGUUCAACAGAGUGUUAACUCGGUGGUCUGCAUUGGACUGGAAGGACAGAAAGGGAGACUGAAACCAUACGUGGCAGAUAUAGCUAUAAAUCUUGGGGUCAUGAUCUCUUACAGCAAUGGAAUACUCAGAUUAAUAUUUCUCUAGUGUCAGAUACAAAUUAUGUACAAUUUUUAGAUAGUAGAAAAGAUCUGGUAAGAUACUAUGGAAAACGGUUACCAACCAUCCAGGCUGUACAGAAACUAAGUACAAAUGAUAGACCUUCAGAGGAGCCAAAGGCCCUGCCACUGAAGUGGCUUACAGAUGAUUCUGUUUGGGUAGGACAAUGGCCUAUGACCUCUGAGAAUCUAGAGGCUCUCGAAAAGUUAGUACAAGAACAGCUAGUGGCUGGACACAUAGGGGAAACUACCAGCCCUUGGAAUUCUCCUGUAUUUGCUAUCAAAAAGAAGUCAGGUAAGUGGAGAAUGCUGAUAGACCUGAGAGCCAUAAAUUAGGUAAUUCAACCAAUGGGCUCUCUACAACCUGGAAUGCCUUUGCCUUCCUUGAUACCUAAAGGAUGGCCUAUCAUAGUCAUUGAUCUGAAAGACUGCUUUUUCACAAUACCAUUACAGGAAAAUGAUGGAGAAAAAUUUGCAUUUACUGUACCAGCUCUUCAUAAUUCACAGCCAGUUAGGAGAUAUCAGUGGAGGGUUUUGCCACAAGGAAUGCUAAAUAGUCCUACUUUGUGUCAGCACUUUUACAUCAACCUUUGGAAAUAAUUCGUAAGAAAUUUUCACAAUCUCUUGUUGAUCAUUACAUGGAUGAUAUUCUUUUAUCAGAUUCUAAUAAAGAAACUUUGGUAUGUAUGUUUGAAAUGGUGAAGAAGUUCUGCCUCAUUGGGGGUUACAGAUUGCUCCAGAAAAGAUACGAAGAGGAGAUUCUUUUUAACUAUUUAGGUUACAAGGUAGACUUACAAAGAAUCAGACCUCAAAAGGUACAAAUUAGAAGGGAUCGUUAUCAAACUCUUAAUUCUCUUCAGAAACUAUUAGGAGAAAUUUCUCAAUUACAGAUGAUUAUUGGUGUAGAAGGACAUGACUUAAAGCAUUUAAAAAUGGCCCUUAAAGUUGAUAAGGACCUAAACAGUCAAAGAAUGUUAUCCACUGAAGCAGAAAAAGAGUUACGAUGGGUAGAAAACAGAAUAUUGGAUGCACAUGUAGAUCGGAUAAACCUUGAUUUAGAUUGUAUUCUGGUUAUCUUGCCAUCCAGAGAAACUGCUUCUGGAAUUCUGAUGUAGAGGGAAGACACCAUAUUGGAGUGGAUAUUUCUGCCACAUAAACAGAAUAAAAAGUUAAAGAAAUAUAUAGAAAAGAUUACUGAUUUGAUUCUAAAGGGCAAAUCAAGACUUCAUCAACUGACUGGAAAAGAUCCAGCAGAAAUUAUAGUACCUUUAACUAAUGAGAAAAUUUCUUCCUUGUGGAAGGACAAUGAAUAUUGGCAAAUAGCUCUUACUGACUUUUUGGGAAUGAUUAGCAACGACUAUCCCAAAACUGACAGAAUUAAAUUCAUAAAAAAGACAAUCUGGAUUCUUCCCCAUAUUGUAAGACAAACUCCCAUAUCUGGAGUUCUUACCUUCUACACUGAUGCCAACAAAUCAGGUAAGGUAAGGUAAGCAGGUGAGGAAAGUAAAGUAGUUCAAAGUCCAAAUACAUCUGUACAGAAGGCAGAAUUAUAUGCAAUUCUCAUGGUACUUGUGGAUUUUACAGAACCUCUUAAUAUAGUUACUGAUUCUCAAUAUGCAGAGAGAGUCGUGUUACACAUUGAGACUGCAGAAUUCAUUCCUAAUAAUACAGAAUUAACUUCACUGUUUAUACAAUUAUAGGAAACAAUCAGAAACAGAAGUAAUCCUAUAUACAUUACACAUAUCAGAUCCCAUACAGGUCUGCCAGGCCCACUAGCACAAAGCAAUGAUGAGAUUGAUUGUUUAUUAAUUGGAAGUGUGCUAAAAGCCUCAGAAUUUCAUAAGAAACAUCAUGUAAAUAGCAAAGGUUUAAAAAAGGACUUCGCCAUCACUUGGCAAAAAGCCAAGGAGUUAGUGAGAAACUGUCCUACUUGUUCCUUUUAUAAUCAAACUCCAUUGCCAGCAGGUUGUAAUCCUAAGGGAAUUAGGAGAAAUGAGGUUUGGCAGAUGGAUGUCUUUCACUUUAAAGAAUUUGGAAAUUUGAAAUAUGUGCAUCAUACUAUAGACACAUUCUCAGGGUUCCAAUGGGCUACUGCUCUUAACUCUGAAAAAGCUGAUUCUGUUAUUACACACCUGCUAGAGGUGAUGGCAGUUAUGGGUAUACCUGCACAAAUAAAAACAUGCUCCAGCACAUGUCUCCACAAAAUUGGAACAGUUUCUCAAAUAUUAUAACAUGAAGUAUGUCACCGGUAUACCACACAAUCCUACAGGACAAGCAGUGGUUGAGAGAUCUAAUAGAACACUUAAGGAGAUGCUCCACAGACGGGCUUGGAAAGCAAAACCUCCCAAACAUAGGAUGCAUAAUGCUUUAUUAACACUAAACUUUCUUAAUGCCAAUGAGAAAGGACAAACGGCUGCAGAAAGACACUGGACAACAGGAAAAACUGCUGAAUUGAAUCAGCCAGUAUACUUUAAAGAUGUACUAACCUCUGUAUGGAAACCAGGACAUGUGUUACGAUGGGGUAGGGGUUUUGCAUUGGUUUCCACAGGAGAAGAAAAACUUUGGAUACCAUCAAAGUUGAUCAAGAUUCGAGUUGAAAAGGAAAAACCUCUUGACGAGGACAAAUGACAGGUAUUCUACUAAGGUACAUCUUAUAAACUAAAUAGAAACCUCCCCCCAAAAGGGAAGUAUUUUGCUUUUAUCUUCACAG
ensembl:lncRNA